CCGGCCCGACCCUAAUGGGCCGGAUUUUACCCGAUCCGAUUAGAAAUAGGGUCGGGUAUGGGUUUCCAAAAAAAAAUCCGAAGCGGGUCCGGGUCGGGUCCGGGUUUUAAUUAAAAAACCCGAAACCCGACCCGAGACCCGGCCCGAAACCCGACCCGUGUAAAAACCCGGAACCUAAAAUUACAAAACUACCCCCCAUAUAUAUAUAUACACCUUAAUCUAACCCUAACCCUAACGUUCUUCACUCUUUCACUCCCACACUCAGCAGCCUCCCUCCCUACUCAGUCCGACAGUCCGUCACCCUCACUCCCACACCCUUACGCCGCCGUCCCACACCACACUCCGUCCCUCAGUCCGACCCUCACAAGCCUCCGUCCCUCAGUCCGACCCUCACAACCCUCACUCCCACACUCCGUCCCUCAGUACCUCAGUCCGACCCUCACAAGCCUCCGGCUCCGGCAGCCGUUCGCGUCUCUGGUACCGUCGGCGUCUCUGGAACGUCGUCGCCUGCUUCAAGAUCGCCGAUCAGGACUUUCGGCGUCUCUGGAACGUCGUCGCCUGCUUCAAGAUCGCCGAUCAGGACUUUCGGUUUCAUCACCUACUUCAAGAUCGCCGAUAAGGAUUUGAAGCAAUCACCUGCAAGAAGGUUCUUCAAUUAUACCUGGAGAUAGUACAUUUCAAUCCAUUCUUAAUGAUGGGGAGCCAAAUGAAGAUGAUGGGAGUUGUGCCACAAUUGAUGGGAGUUGCAUCACAAUUGAUGAAGAUUAAAUAUUUUGUAUUAAUUUAGUAGUUUUUUUAAUUUCUUGGACUUUUGUUGAAUUAAUUUGUUGGUAUGUAAUUAUUCUAAACUUGUGGCCUUGUGGGAUUUAUUUUGUAGCUUUUUAAUUUCUUGGACUCGUUGGACUUUUGAUACUUAUUUCUUA